ACUCGGGAGAACUGCACCUGGGGGAAGAGAGUGGAGCAGACAGCAGUGAAGGAGCCACAGGGCCAGCUGUGUGCACGGGUGUGACUGGCUCCUCAGGAUCCAGCAGAACCCUCCAGCUACCCACCACACCUCCUUACCCUCCCCAGCCGGGCAUCCUCCACAGAGACCUCGCGGAAGAAGAAGUAGACAUGGUCUCCAUGCUCCAGGGCAUGGACAAAGUGUGGCUCUAAGGUGGGGAGUGACAGGGAAGGGUAUAGAAGAGUAUCUGUAACUGCUCAGAAGCUCCUGGUCCCACACCCCUCUCCCCAUCGCGUACACACCCACUACCACACUCUCUGCCUGCUCCCUGCCACAGUCCUCCCUCUGCGCCUCCUCCCCGAGAACAGUCUCCUUUCCCCAGGCCCGCCCUGACCUCGGAGCCACUUGGAGUCGUACUUGGCGGAGCGGAGUGGGGGCUGAGGCCCAAGGCUUCUGUAAACUACAGCAUCACUGGCCUGGAAGUCUGCAGCUGUGGCUGAGUACAGGCUGCCGUCUG